CCUGCUGAAGCAGGUCAGGGUUUCAAUUCAAUAAAAGUUUUUUUGUUUGUUUUUUAUUUUUUUUCUGAGCACCUAGUGAUAUCAGGAACUCAAACUAGGCACUAAAAAGAAAAGGAGAACAGACUAUUCAAUGACUGUAGCAGGCAGCAGUGACCAGAAGGGCAGGAGAAAGAAGAUACCCAACAGAUUUCAUUCUUUCCCUUGCUUAACACAGCACUCGGAGCAUUUGCAGAAAUAGAUGUGACUCACAUGGGGAUUUAUCACACAGCUGAGGGGAAUCCACAAUAUGGCCUGCCUCAGUAUAAACAACAGAAAAGAAAAAAACUUGGGAUACUUUCACUGGCACAAAUCAAAAAGAAACAGUUUGAUUUAUCCAUGAAAAUAUUAGUAUUGUCCUCCUUCACACUACCAAUGGCUGACAGUGGAAAAUGAUGGAUGCUGAAGAUGUAAUCUUUUCCUUGAAACCUUCCUCAAACACUCUGUGAAGGUAAGAAAGCCCAACAUAAUAUGAUUCAUCCCGAAUGGUUGUCUGGAUUUCAAAUUCAGUGAUUAAUAGGUUAGAUGAACUAUAUGAAGAGCUGAGCUGAAUCCUUCAGAGGCACCUGACGACAGAGGCCAGUUUGUUUCUGCUUCUUGGUGUCUUAGUUUUGGACUUUAUAAAAUGAGUGUAAUAAUAGUUGUUUUGCUUCUGACCUAAGAUCAAAAAAGGAUCCCAUAUGUGAAUGUUGCUUGCAGGUGAGAAAGCACUAUAUAAAUUUAAGAGCCUUGAGGUGUUGCACAAAAUUGAGGCAGGGGCUCUUACAGGUCUGGGUGGGAGCCUGUGACAGGUAUUCAGGGUUGAAUGAAUUUUCAUUUCUCCAAUAAAAUAAUCUUGGAGACAUGGUUGUUCAUAUGCAUCUAGGAGUUUUGAAAGAUAAGGAUGUAUGAAUAAGCAUAUGUGUGGAUGGUGACAAUAAAGUCAGAGUGGAAAUAAAAGUGAUAUUUUUAGCAUUGACUUGAUCCUAGAUUGCUUUAUAUAGGUGAUUUCAUUUAACUUUACUACAUACAAAGCCAAUAGAAGUAGUGUGACUAUUCGUCUAUUACAUAUUAAGGACUAAGUUUCAGAGGGGUUAAGUAACUUGCCCUAGAUGUUGUUAUGGCCAGGCCUGCUGUAGUCCCUGAGAUGCAGAAAGAAAAUUAGAAAUUAGAAGUGUGUGAAUUCUGGAUCCACAGGGUUUACCUUAUUUGUUGGUAGUCAAGCUGGAAGGGUGGUCUGCCCUUCCUCCAACUCAACAUUAAAAACACCAGCAACCCCCACCCUGCCUUUCUUUGUACUUUAAGACGUUAAAACUUUCUCACUUCCUGCCACACGACCUCUCAACCUCAGGCCCAUUUCCAUGGAUAACUAGGAAGCACAAGAAAUUAUGUCUGUUCAUCUGUAUCUUUGCCUUGCAUGCCCUUCACAAGGAUUGUUUGCUCUUUU